rnacentral:misc_RNA from 1 species
UGGGUUGGCGGGCUCCGUGCUACGGCAUCGAACCGUCCGCGCACACUCCACGUCAGUGAUGCAUCAAGAGUUUCUUAUGCUUCAAACGGAUUCCUGUACUUGCUACCUAUCGUAAAGGUAUGGCGCCUCUCGUUGACUCUUUCCUUCCCUGACUCAUGCGGUCUGGGGGAGGACAUCGUAGUAGCGCCUGUGCCCCCCGCAUUGUGCGUGCCUUAUGGUCCGCACUUUACGACGGUUCCCAGGUCGUUGCUUGAUGCCUCGGAUACGGAACAUUCGGUGGGCUUUGGGUGUUCGCACCCUCGAUGUCCGAUUCCAAGCGUUUUUGUCGCUAGACAUGUACGAUUGUCAUGCUCCGUUGCGGGAUCCCCCGCGCGGUCGCUGGCGUCGGUAUAGGAAUGCUACCUGGUU